UUCGCCCUUAGAGUUUGAUCCUGGCUCAGAACGAACGCUGGCGGCAGGCCUAACACAUGCAAGUCGAGCGCGCCCUUCGGGGUGAGCGGCGGACGGGUGAGUAACGCGUGGGAACGUGCCCUUCUCUGCGGAAUAGCCUCGGGAAACUGAGAGUAAUACCGCAUACGCCCUUUGGGGGAAAGAUUUAUCGGAGAAGGAUCGGCCCGCGUUGGAUUAGGUAGUUGGUGGGGUAAUGGCCCACCAAGCCGACGAUCCAUAGCUGGUUUGAGAGGAUGAUCAGCCACACUGGGACUGAGACACGGCCCAG
rnacentral:rRNA from 1 species